AUUGAACGCUGGCGGCAGGCCUAACACAUGCAAGUCGAGCGGGAACUUCGGUUCUAGCGGCGGACGGGUGAGUAAUGCGUAGGAAGCUACCCGACAGAGGGGGAUACCAGUUGGAAACGACUGUUAAUACCGCAUAAUGUCUACGGACCAAAGUGUGGGACCUUCGGGCCACAUGCUGUCGGAUGCGCCUACGUGGGAUUAGCUAGUUGGUGAGGUAAUGGCUCACCAAGGCGACGAUCCCUAGCUGGUUUGAGAGGAUGAUCAGCCACACUGGAACUGAGACACGGUCCAGACUCCUACGGGAGGCAGCAGUGGGGAAUAUUGGACAAUGGGCGAAAGCCUGAUUCAGCCAUGCCGCGUGUGUGAAGAAGGCCUUCGGGUUGUAAAGCACUUUCAGUAGGGAGGAAGAGUUGAGUGUUAAUAGUACUCAGCUUUGACGUUACCUACAGAAGAAGCACCGGCUAACUCUGUGCCAGCCGCCGCAGUAAGAC
rnacentral:rRNA from 1 species